CCUACGGGUUGCUGCAGUGGGGAAUAUUGGACAAUGGGCGAAAGCCUGAUCCAGCCAUGCCGCGUGUGUGAAGAAGGCCUUCGGGUUGUAAAGCACUUUCAGUGGGGAAGAAAGCCUUGGGGCUAAUACCCUCGAGGAAGGACAUCACCCACAGAAGAAGCACCGGCUAACUCCGUGCCAGCAGCCGCGGUAAUACGGAGGGUGCGAGCGUUAAUCGGAAUUACUGGGCGUAAAGCGCGCGUAGGCGGUCUGAUAAGCCGGUUGUGAAAGCCCCGGGCUCAACCUGGGAACGGCAUCCGGAACUGUCAGUCUAGAGUGCAGGAGAGGAAGGUAGAAUUCCCGGUGUAGCGGUGAAAUGCGUAGAGAUCGGGAGGAAUACCAGUGGCGAAGGCGGCCUUCUGGACUGACACUGACGCUGAGGUGCGAAAGCGUGGGUAGCAAACAGGAUUAGAUACCCCAGUAGUC
rnacentral:rRNA from 1 species